rnacentral:rRNA from 1 species
UGCGUAGGUGGUUGGUUAAGUUUGAGGUGAAAGCUCCGAGCUCAACUCGGAAAAUGCCUUGAAGACUAUCUGACUAGAGGAUUGGGAGGGGAGAUUGGAAUUCUCGGUGUAGCAGUGAAAUGCGUAGAUAUCGAGAGGAACACCAGUGGCGAAGGCGAAUCUCUGGACAAUUCCUGACACUGAGGCACGAAAGCCAAGGGAGCAAACG